rnacentral:rRNA from 1 species
GAUGAACGCUGGCGGCGUGCCUAAUACAUGCAAGUCGAGCGAACAGACGAGGAGCUUGCUCCUCUGACGUUAGCGGCGGACGGGUGAGUAACACGUGGAUAACCUACCUAUACGACUGGGAUAACUUCGGGAAACCGGAGCUAAUACCGGAUAAUAUAUUGAACCGCAUGGUUCAAUAGUGAAAGACGGUUUUGCUGUCACUUAUAGAUGGAUCCGCGCCGCAUUAGCUAGUUGGUAAGGUAACGGCUUACCAAGGCAACGAUGCGUAGCCGACCUGAGAGGGUGAUCGGCCACACUGGAACUGAGACACGGUCCAGACGCCUACGGGAGGCAGCAGUAGGGAAUCUUACGCAAUGGGCGAAAGCCUGACGGAGCAACGCCGCGGGAGUGAUGAAGGUCUUCGGAUCGUAAAACUCUGUUAUUAGGGAAGAACAAAUGUGUAAGUAACUAUGCACGGCUUGACGGUACCUAAUCAGAAAGCCACGGCUAACUACGUG